rnacentral:lncRNA from 1 species
GGUGUGUCCUACUAUUGUGUGUAAUAUUUGUAAAUCGCUUAAAACAUUUGAAAUAAAUAAUUAUCUAAAAAUUGCUGAGUGGUUGUUAAAAGUCCAAAUGUACUCUAGACUUUAAUGGAUGCAAAGGAUUGGAGAGAAGAAGAAUUCACAAGCUACGGAGAGUCGAACCUACAUCAUCACAAACUAUGGAGAAUCGAACCUACAUGGCGUAGUGGUUACGUUCGGAACCCCAAUGUAACCACUGUGCCACUGCAACUUGUGGUCGAGUGUCUGAGCGUUUGCUAUUUAAGUAAAACCAGGGGUUUCCGAAAUUUCAAAAGCGAUUUUCUCAGGGAUGCUAGAGCGUUGGCCCCAAUGUGGG